AUUGCUUCUUGGCCUUUUGGCUAAGAUCAAGUGUAGUAUCUGAUUGGUUCCAGGUGCUGGUCUUGGACUGUCCUCUCCUGGAUCUCCAUGACUGACAAGUCACACCCACA
ensembl:snRNA U2 U2 spliceosomal RNA